UACGUAGGUGGCAAGCGUUGUUCGGAAUUAUUGGGCGUAAAGGGCGCGUAGGCGGUUUGUUAAGUCGGCUGUGAAAGCCUGGGGCUCAACCCCAGAGGGUCGGCCGAUACUGGCAAACUAGAGUACGGAAGAGGUAGCUGGAAUUCCCGGUGUAGCGGUGAAAUGCGUAGAUAUCGGGGAGGAACACCUGAGGCGAAGGCGGGCUACUGGGCCGAUACUGACGCUGAUGCGCGAAAGCCAGGGGAGCGGAACGGG
rnacentral:rRNA from 1 species